UAAAAAUAGAAGUCCACAUUAGACAAAAUAGUAAUUUGUUUUAUUUUUCUAAUAUAUAUAAGAUUUGAAUCAGCUAAAAUACUCUAAUAAUUAGAGCUUUGAAAUUUAAAAACGAAAAAGGGUUAUAUAUAUCUCUAUACUAUCAAAUAUUAGUUAUAAGUACCCCUCGUUUUACUAUUCGAUGCUUUCUACCCCGGUCGUUACACAUUUACAUAUAUUUUUGCCCCUCCAUUUAACGGUCUCAUUCUGGGUGAACAAGUGGUUGCAUUUUUUAAACACCCUAACCCAUUUUCCUCACUGAUACCUAAAUCCCCCAAAAACCCGAACCGAUUCAGCCCCAUAUCCAAACACCUGUAAGUAAAUGAAUCUUUCACCCACCAAAGGCACUCCAACUCAGAGAUACCCAAAAUACCAUAAAUAAAAUAACCUAAUCACCACUACAAAAACCACCGUCCUCCACCAAGAACCACCAUGAAAUAACCUUCUAUUUUCUGAUCACUUAUAACACCUUCUUCAGCAGACGCCGAUGCUCACUAAUUUCUCAUUGAAUCAUGAAUUCCACACAGAAAUUGAAGCCAAUUUUCCAAUUUCAGUUCAUCAGUGACAAAAUCUCAUCAUAACCCCAAUUCCGAAACUGCACUUGCUGAAAUGAAGGUCGAUUGAGGAGCGUAAGGUGGUCGUUCAAGUUUUUCCAGGUGAAUGACUCGAAUCAAGGUUUGAACAGGAGGCUCACCAUCAUAUUCAACUUCCAUAGCUUUCGGCGGUCAAAAUUUUAUCCUUGAUUCUCAAAGAAUUGGCACCCCCUUCUUUCUUUAUUUACUUCGCACUUUCCUUUAUGAAUAUGAUUUUUUCUAUGGUGUUUGUAACACCUCGAUUGUUGGGGGAGGAAAGGUGGUUGUAUGUGGAUAAUAUAAUGGUGGUGGGGUUAAAGGGUUAUUUGUGAAAAGUUCUCAAAUAUGAAAUGUUUGACACAAAAUUAUUUUUUGGUUGAAAGAUGUGGCAGUUCUGUGUAGGCCGAGAGGUGGUUUGGUGAGAUGGACUUAAAGUGGUG
rnacentral:lncRNA from 1 species